rnacentral:rRNA from 1 species
AACACAUGCAAGUCGAACGAUGACCCCAGCUUGCUGGGUGAUUAGUGGCGAACGGGUGAGUAACACGUGAGUAACCUGCCCCUGACUCUGGGAUAAGCCCGGGAAACUGGGUCUAAUACUGGAUAUGCACCGUGGACCGCAUGGUCCUUGGUGGAAAGAUUUUUUGGUCAGGGAUGGACUCGCGGCCUAUCAGCUUGUUGGUGAGGUAAUGGCUCACCAAGGCGACGACGGGUAGCCGGCCUGAGAGGGUGACCGGCCACACUGGGACUGAGACACGGCCCAGACUCCUACGGGAGGCAGCAGUGGGGAAUAUUGCACAAUGGGCGAAAGCCUGAUGCAGCGACGCCGCGUGAGGGAUGACGGCCUCCGGGUUGUAAACCUCUUUCAGUAGGGAAGAAGCGAAAGUGACGGUACCUGCAGAAGAAGCGCCGGCU